rnacentral:rRNA from 1 species
GAUGAACGCUGGCGGCGUGCCUAAUACAUGCAAGUCGAGCGAACAGACGAGGAGCUUGCUCCUCUGACGUUAGCGGCGGACGGGUGAGUAACACGUGGAUAACCUACCUAUAAGACUGGGAUAACUUCGGGAAACCGGAGCUAAUACCGGAUAACAUGUUGAACCGCAUGGUUCAACAGUGAAAGACGGUCUUGCUGUCACUUAUAGAUGGAUCCGCGCCGCAUUAGCUAGAUGGUAAGGUAACGGCUUACCAAGGCAACGAUGCGUAGCCGACCUGAGAGGGUGAUCGGCCACACUGGAACUGAGACACGUUCCAAACUCCUACGGGAGGCAGCAGUAGGGAAUCUUCCGCAAUGGGCGAAGGCCUGACGGAGCAACGCCGCGUGAGUGAAGAAGGUCUUCGGAUCGUAAAACUCUGUUAUUAGAGAAGAACAAAUGUGUAAGUAACUAUGCACGUCUUGACGGUACCGAAUCAGAAAGCCACGGCUAACUACGU